rnacentral:rRNA from 1 species
AGAGUUUGAUCCUGGCUCAGGACGAACGCUGGCGGCGCGCCUAACACAUGCAAGUCGAACGAGCGAGAGAGAGCUUGCUUUCUCGAGCGAGUGGCGAACGGGUGAGUAACGCGUGAGGAACCUGCCUCAAAGAGGGGGACAACAGUUGGAAACGACUGCUAAUACCGCAUAAGCCCACAGGUCGGCAUCGACCAGAGGGAAAAGGAGCAAUCCGCUUUGAGAUGGCCUCGCGUCCGAUUAGCUAGUUGGUGAGGUAACGGCCCACCAAGGCGACGAUCGGUAGCCGGACUGAGAGGUUGAACGGCCACAUUGGGACUGAGACACGGCCCAGACUCCUACGGGAGGCAGCAGUGGGGAAUAUUGCACAAUGGGGGAAACCCUGAUGCAGCGACGCCGCGUGGAGGAAGAAGGUCUUCGGAUUGUAAACUCCUGUUGUUGAGGAAGAUAAUGACGGUACUCAACAAGGAAGUGACGGCUAACUACGUGCCAGCAGCCGCGGUAAAACGUAGGUCACAAGCGUUGUCCGGAAUUACUGGGUGUAAAGGGAGCGCAGGCGGGAAGACAAGUUGGAAGUGAAAUCUAUGGGCUCAACCCAUAAACUGCUUUCAAAACUGUUUUUCUUGAGUAGUGCAGAGGUAGGCGGAAUUCCCGGUGUAGCGGUGGAAUGCGUAGAUAUCGGGAGGAACACCAGUGGCGAAGGCGGCCUACUGGGCACCAACUGACGCUGAGGCUCGAAAGUGUGGGUAGCAAACAGGAUUAGAUACCCUGGUAGUCCACACCGUAAACGAUGAUUACUAGGUGUUGGAGGAUUGACCCCUUCAGUGCCGCAGUUAACACAAUAAGUAAUCCACCUGGGGAGUACGACCGCAAGGUUGAAACUCAAAGGAAUUGACGGGGGCCCGCACAAGCAGU